AGCGUAUCUAAUGCUUUGGGUUUUUGUAUCGGAUUAACUAUCUGCUUGCUCAUAUGACCAAGAAGGAACCCAGUUGUUAUCAUUUAGUGAAAAUACUGUAAACAAUGUUAUUUUUUAUGUGGAGUUCUAAAUAAUUGUGGUUGAGGCAUUUCAUUUGUUCUUCACACUGGAAAAUACUACCAAAUUAUUUAAUCAAAAGCGUUGCAUGAGUUUGCAGAAGAUACAUUUAAUUCAAGCUUCUCAAACAAAUGUAGUACUGUAUUUAACAUGUGCGAUGGAGAUAAUGUACUUUAAAAGGGAGAAGUUGGAAUUUUACCAUGGUAAUAUUUGUAUUUCAUUUUAAGAAACUUCUGCUCAAUCAAUCCCUUUCCUUUUUAGGAUUUUAAAAUUGGCGGAGCUUCAUUUCAAAGGUGGACCAAACAAUGAAAAUGUCGCCAAAUGCAUAUAGGGUUUUUUGUUGGAGUUGAUUGGAAGGACGGCUGAAGAAGUUGUUAAUUCUGAUAUGUGAGUUCAUACUAAGAGGCAAGCACAAGAAGGAAAUUAAGAAGUUAAGCUGGACAACCAUAAAGGUUUUGGAUAGGUUUAAUUGCAUACACCAGGUAAAUUCUCCUCAGCCAUCCCAUUCAACAAAUAAUUUCGUUGAUUUUUAGGUGGACAUUAAUGAAAAAUGUUAUUUCUCCAGUUGUUGGUGUGAUGCAAGCAGUGUCAGCUUCCAUAUGCUCUUCGAUGCCACAUAACAUUAUAAAAAAGAAUGGCACCAAGUGCACUGCAUAAAGAUCAGAAGCUGGGAUGCCUUGGGUGGCAGUGCAAUGACUACAGAUUAAGAAUUCUUCAAGCUAAAAAGCAACAACUUACUGCUCUACUACUUUGAACAUGGAAGAACAAUAACGGCUUGCGGUGGAUAAAGUUGGUCGCCAAACUCAGAGACGGGAGCGCUUUGCUGCAAGCUCUCAUAUUGACAAAUGUCUAUGUUGUGCACUCUAUAUGUAACCGAAGAAAAUUGUAAGAAAGUAGUAUAUUGUUCAGUUCAUGGAAUUCUAACGACUAUACAUGUAAUAGGAAACUUAUGCUAUUUCUAU